AUUGAACGCUGGCGGCAUGCCUUACACAUGCAAGUCGAACGGUAACAGGUUAAGCUGACGAGUGGCGAACGGGUGAGUAAUGUAUCGGAACGUGCCCAGUCGUGGGGGAUAACUGCUCGAAAGAGCAGCUAAUACCGCAUACGACCUGAGGGUGAAAGCGGGGGAUCGCAAGACCUCGCGCGAUUGGAGCGGCCGAUAUCAGAUUAGGUAGUUGGUGGGGUAAAGGCCCACCAAGCCAACGAUCUGUAGCUGGUCUGAGAGGACGACCAGCCACACUGGGACUGAGACACGGCCCAGACUCCUACGGGAGGCAGCAGUGGGGAAUUUUGGACAAUGGGCGCAAGCCUGAUCCAGCCAUGCCGCGUGCGGGAAGAAGGCCUUCGGGUUGUAAACCGCUUUUGUCAGGGAAGAAAAGGGUGUUUCUAAUACAGACGCCUCAUGACGGUACCUGAAGAAUAAGCACCGGCUAACUACGUGCCAGCCGCCGCGGUAAAAC
rnacentral:rRNA from 1 species